rnacentral:rRNA from 1 species
GACGAACGCUGGCGGCGUGCUUAACACAUGCAAGUCGAACGGAAAGGCCCUGCUUUUGCGUGGUUCUCGAGUCGCGAACGGGUGAGUAACACGUGAGUAUCCUUGCCUUUACUUUGGGAUAACUUCAGGAAACUGGGGCUAAUACCUGAUAGGAGCUCCUGCUGCAUGGUGGGGGUUGGAACUUUUCGGCGGAUGUGGAUGGACUCGCGGGUUAUCAGCUUGUUGGUGGGGUAGUGGCUUACCAAGCGUUCGAAGGGUGGCCGGCCUGAGAGGGUGAUCGGCGACAAUGGGACUGAGAUACGGCGCAGACGCGUACGGGAGGCAGCAGGGGGGAAUAUUGCACAGUGGGCGGGAGCGUGAUGCAGAAACGCCGCGAGCGGGGUGAAGGCCUUGGGGUUGUAAACCGCAUUAGGCUGAGACGAAGCGGGAGUGACGGUAAUAGGUAAAGAAGCACCGGCUAACUACGUG